CUCGUUCGAAAAUUAUUUUUACCAUCUGCUUCUGCGGCUUCUAUAAAUGUUUUUCUUUACUUAUACCAUCGGGAUGAUUUAAGGAACGGAAAACAGGGGCGCAGGAUUAACGCGACCAAGACAAUUCUGGAUGUUUUUCGAAGAACAUACCGGGGAUUCCCGCCACGCUCGAGCCAAGGUGGCGGCCCCCAAGCUUUGAACGCACGAUAAUCCGCCGGUUUCCUCCUGACGUCAGAUCGCCGAUGAUUUGUUCCUUAAUAUUUCAAAAUGGAACGAAGCCCGAAGGACGGAACCAGAAACGGAAAAAACGCGGAGUCGCGAAAGUUCGUGAGAAGAGGGUGGUUGAAAAUUGGAUAUUCCUUCCCCCCCCCCUACCCCCAAGAAGUCACAAGUCGAGCUCGUGGGAGAGAGGGUGGCGAGAGCGGUUCCAAGAAGCGGCACGGUUUCGGUAUAAUUACCGCAACUUUGUUUACGUAUCGGCUCGUUUACUGCCGGCGUGGGUGUUGGGACAGCAUAUGUGUAAA